GUCCACGCCGUAAACGAUGAAUACUAGGUGUAGGGGGUUAUACUCCCUCUGUGCCGCAGCUAACGCAAUAAGUAUUCCGCCUGGGGAGUACGGUCGCAAGAUUAAAACUCAAAGGAAUUGACGGGGGCCCGCACAAGCAGCGGAGCAUGUGGUUUAAUUCGACGCAACGCGAAGAACCUUACCAAGGCUUGACAUCCAACUAAAACUAUGGAAACAUAGCGUCCCUUCGGGGGAGUUGAGACAGGUGGUGCAUGGUUGUCGU
rnacentral:rRNA from 1 species